rnacentral:tRNA from 1 species
GCGGAUGUAGUUCAAAUGGUAGAACAGCAGCGUUCCGCGCUGAAUGAAUGUCGGUUCGAAUCCGGCCGUCCGCUCCA